CUAGCGAAGCCCCUGGGCCUGUUGAGGCCUGCGGGGGGACACUUGAGGCUUGGGCGUGUGUAUGAGUUGAGUUUUGCUGCAGAAUUGAAGAUCACAAUCCUACCAUGUUGAGUUGUCCAUUUUUGUUUGAGGUCAGAAUUAUAUUCUGGGGCCUAGACACCAAAGCUGGAAACUGUACAGAAAGCAGAUUCUUUUGUUACCAAGAACCCAAAUGAGAUGGAAUCUUUUAAGGCUGCUGGUACAGACAGAGUGUAAGAAAGAUCAGCUCUGUGGAAGCCAAAAUACUGUCUGUGAAGAAUGGC